GCUCAAAGUGAAAAUCGCGUGUCCUUCUUUGGGCUCGCGAAUUGUAGCCUCUAGAGGCGUAACCAGUGGAGGGGCAGGUCCAAGUUUCUUGGAACAGAACUUCAGAGAGGGUGACAGUCCCGUCCUUUGUCCUGCUUGUUGUUUCCACGUACGGUGCGCUUUUAUUGAGUCGCGUUCAUUGGGAUUUGAGCGCAAAAUGUGUGAUAAGUUUCACAUAAAGCUAAAUACCGGCGCGAGACCGAUAGCGAACAAGUACUGUGAAGGAAAGAUGAAAAGGACUUUGGAAAGAGAGUUAAAAGUGCCUGAAAUUGCUGAAAGGGAAGCGAUUGAAACUUUGGUUUCCCUUGGGUGCCACUGAGUAGGUGUAAUCUUGUUCUGCCAGCUUCCGUUAUAGGGGUUGGCGAAGCUUGCAUAUUGCUACUUGCUCAGUUGAUCCCUUGGGUUUGGUCAGCAUCAGCAGGUGCCGUGACUAUUCUCCCCAAGGAAGGUAAGCCCCUCGUGGGCUGUUAUAGCUUUGGGUUUGUUGUUCAUGCGCCUGCUGAGGUGUGUUUUUGCGCGUUCGCCGGCUCCACUUUCGAGUACUGGCGUUCAGCGGUGCUGUCCCUAACGGUUUCAACCGACCCGUCUUGAAACACGGACCAAGGAGUCUAACAUAUGUGCGAGUAUGCGGGUUGUACCCCUGUAUGCGCAAUGAAAGUGAGAGUAGGGAGAGGUUGGGUUCUUUCCUGGCUUCGCACCUACGACCGACCACGAUCUCUGUGAGAGGUUUGAGUUGUAGCACAUCUGUUAGGACCCGAAAGAUGGUGAACUAUGCCUGAGUAGGGUGAAGUCAGGCGAAAGCCUGAUGGAAGCUCGUAGCGAUACUGACGUGCAAAUCGUUCGUCAAACUUGGGUAUAGGGGCGAAGACUAAAUCGAACCGUCUAGUAGCUGGUUUCUUCCGAAGUUUCUCUCAGGAUAGCUGGAGUUCAAUUAGUUUUAUCAGGUAAAGCGAAUGAUUAGAGGCCUCGGGGGCGCGUCGCCCUCGACCUAUUCUCAAACUUUAAAUGGGUAAGAUCCAGUGGUUACUUCAUUGAACUGCUGGGGUUAAUAUGAACUCCAAGUGGGCCAUUUUUGGUAAGCAGAACUGGCGAUGAGGGAUGCUCCUAACGCUUGGUUAAGGUGCCAAAAUACUCGCUCAUCAGAUACCAUAAAAGGUGUUGGUUCAUUUUGACAGCAGGACGGUGGUCAUGGAAGUCGAAAUCCGCUAAGAAGUGUGUAACAACUUACCUGCCGAAUGAACCAGCCCUGAAAAUGGAUGGCGCUGCAGCGGGUUACCGAUACCAGGCCAUUAUCGCAAGUGUUUGAACACUCGACUUUUUGCG
rnacentral:rRNA from 1 species